rnacentral:lncRNA from 1 species
CACUGGGGAGAAUGAAAUACCUUCUACCUUCAUUUAUGAUGUAGAGAACUGUUGCUAGCACUACUAAUAACUCAGUGGUUGUAAUGAGAAUGUCUACAAUUGAAGAGAGAAACUAGCAGCUCUGCACAUAGUCCAGCCAUAACAGUAGCAAGAAUGCAGAAGUCUCCUUAGACAAAGUAUGCUGCUGAUUUGACAUAAAAAUGAGGACCAUUGCUAUAUUAACUUCACUGCAUUGCUAUAAGGUAAUAUUUUUAAAAUAAGUUUUACUCAACAAUACAAUCAAGUCUGACAACUCAAAUCUAUUUUUAAGAUAUUUUCCUAUAUGAUGUACGUUACCCUAAUAAUACAAACUAAUAUUUAUUGAAAAAGUACCACCUGCUAUGUAUAUUUAUCGCAGCACAAUUCACAAUUUCAAAGAUGUGGAACCAACUUAAGUGCCUAGCAGUUAAUGAGUGGAUAAAGAAAAUGUGGCAUAUAUACACCAUAGAUUACUACUCAGCCAUUAAAAGGAAUGAAAUAAUGUCUUUUGCAGCAACUUGGAUGCAGCUGGAGGCUAUUAUUCUAAGUGAAGUAACACAGGAGUGGAAAAUCAAAAACUGUUCUCACAAGUGGGAGAUAAACUAUGAGUAUGCAAAGGCAUGCAGAGUGAUAUAAUGGACUAUAGAGACUCAGAAAGGGGAAAGUGGGAGGGAGGCUAGGGAUAAAAAACUACACAUUUGUUACAGCGUCCACUACUCUGGUGAUGGGUACACUAAAAUCUCAAUUCACCACUGUAUCAUUCAUGUAACAGAAAACUACUGAUAACGC